AUAAACACAGUGAACAGACGAAGUACAAGUGCCCUUUUUUAAAGAGAGAUUGCGGGUGGUGAAAGCAAUCAUUAAGGACUUGGAAAUGCACCUGGGAGUGGCUUUGGUAAAAACCAAAGACGGCAAAGCCCGUUACGCUUAGAUGAGGCAGAGAGAUUCUGCAAAUAAAAGUGGAACCACGCCCAAAGCGUCUUUUAA
rnacentral:ncRNA from 1 species